rnacentral:rRNA from 1 species
AGCGAACGCUGGCGGCAGGCCUAACACAUGCAAGUCGAACGGAUCCUUCGGGAUUAGUGGCGGACGGGUGAGUAACACGUGGGAACGUGCCCUUUGGUUCGGAACAACUCAGGGAAACUUGAGCUAAUACCGGAUGUGCCCUUCGGGGGAAAGAUUUAUCGCCAUUGGAGCGGCCCGCGUCUGAUUAGCUAGUUGGUGAGGUAAAGGCUCACCAAGGCGACGAUCAGUAGCUGGUCUGAGAGGAUGAUCAGCCACAUUGGGACUGAGACACGGCCCAAACUCCAACGGGAGGCAGCAGUGGGGAAUCUUGCGCAAUGGGCGAAAGCCUGACGCAGCCAUGCCGCGUGAAUGAUGAAGGUCUUAGGAUUGUAAAAUUCUUUCACCGGGGACGAUAAUGACGGUACCCGGAGAAGAAGCCCCGGCUAACUUCGUGCCAGCCGCCGCAGUAAGAC